AUACUUACCUGGCAGGGGAGAUACCAUGAUCAUGAAGGUGGUUUUCCCAGGGCGAGGCUUAUCCAUUGCACUCCGGAUGUGCUGACCCCUGCAUGUGGGAAACUCAACUGCAUAACUCAUGGUAGUGGGGGACUACGUUCACGCUCUCCCCUG
rnacentral:snRNA from 1 species